CUCAAAAGACUUCAGUAGCUGGCCAAAGGACACUCGAAUCAAAUCAUUGUGCCGGACAAUCCAACCGGACAAUGUCCUUGCUGUGGCCCAAGGUGCAGAUGUGAUUACCUUUCGAUACGUAUUGUCGCGAACGGUGUCCUCGGUGCGCAAGAGAAAUGUGACUGCGAGUUGAACCGGUGAAAAAGGAUACGUGUGUGGUCCCACAAAAUCAGGAGCAUAUACCUCAAGGAUAUCAUCUGAAAGAAUGCAUAUAUAGUAGGUGUGAAUAUUUGAAAAAAAAAUCAUAAAUAGUUUAAUUAUAUUUGUUGUUAUAUUUAGAGAAUAAAAGUAGAUCAAGUAUGA